CAUCGUUGGCCCAAUGCCUUAGCCUUGUGCUAGGCUUUGAGUGGGGCGAAUGUUGGCUUCCCGCGAGCAAGGUCUCACGGUUGGUUGAAAAUUGAGUCCCUGGUGGAGGGCGCCGCGAUGGAUGGUGGUUGAGUAAAAGCUCGAGAUCGAUCGUGCGCGUCACUCGUGCCGGAUUUGGGACUUUGUGACCCAUGGGCUCUGUUGGUCGCCCAUGACGGGA
rnacentral:rRNA from 1 species